rnacentral:rRNA from 1 species
UUUAUGGAGAGUUUGAUCCUGGCUCAGGAUGAACGCUGGCGGCGUGCCUAAUACAUGCAAGUCGAGCGAACGGACGAGAAGCUUGCUUCUCUGAUGUUAGCGGCGGACGGGUGAGUAACACGUGGAUAACCUACCUAUAAGACUGGGAUAACUUCGGGAAACCGGAGCUAAUACCGGAUAAUAUUUUGAACCGCAUGGUUCAAAAGUGAAAGACGGUCUUGCUGUCACUUAUAGAUGGAUCCGCGCUGCAUUAGCUAGUUGGUAAGGUAACGGCUUACCAAGGCAACGAUGCAUAGCCGACCUGAGAGGGU